AGGCAGUUCACGCUUUUGUGCAGAAAAAGUUUAUAAAAGAAGCCAUCCAUCCGCGAAACCCACCCGCACAAAUCCAAACAGCAUUCGCCCGUCGGCUUCCACCCUCCCCCUCACGCGCGCGACCUCGUCGCCGUCGGCUCGGAGAUCUCGCCCGCCGGCCAUGGACGCCGUCGACUCCGUCGUGGACCCCCUCCGCGAGUUCGCCAAGGACAGCGUCCGCCUCGUCAAGCGCUGCCACAAGCCCGACCGCAAGGAGUUCACCAAGGUGGCGGCGCGGACGGCGAUCGGGUUCGUCGUCAUGGGGUUCGUGGGGUUCUUCGUCAAGCUCAUCUUCAUCCCCAUCAACAACAUCAUCGUCGGCUCCGGCUAGGUUGGAGGACGACAUGAUGCGGGGAUAGUGCGAUGCCGGCGGUUGGGCCUGCGGUGUGUUGAAUUAGGCGCCCAAAGUUCGUUCUGAAGUUGUUGUUGAAGACCUGUUUUAUCGCUGAUCGCAAGUGCUGAUUACCGGUGAUACGCGCACCACUGCCAACUACUUGGGCCACACUCACACGGUUCUGAAAAUAUAGAAAUAUGAAAAACGUAAGAAUCUAGAAAUAAGAAUAUA
rnacentral:rRNA from 1 species